rnacentral:lncRNA from 1 species
CAGGGAUGGUGCCUCAACUGCUUCCCUGGGCAGCCCAUUCCAAUGCUGGAUAACCCUUUCCUUGAAGAAAUGUUCCUUCGUCCCAUCCUGUAUCGCAUCCUGUAUCUCAUCCCCCAUCACACCCCGUGUCGCAUCCCGCGUCGCUCGCAGGGCAGCGGUAGCUGGUGACAAGCCAUGCGUUGGGAAAUUUGGAAUUCUAUCAAGCGUGCAGCCCUAUUUGGCUGCGGGAGCAAAUACCUCGCGGGAAGCAGAGAGUGUGACCCAGAGAGCCGUGGGUCCGGGGCUGGCCCUUCUCUGCUGAGCUGCCGCCGCCGCGAUGAUCUGUAUUUACAGAGACGGGUUCCGGAAUAUCCUCCAGUUAUGUCUGAGUUAAUGAUGCUCUUUCUCCCUGGGAUAAAGAAGAGCCCGAGAAGCUGAUGUGCUUUCUCUCAGCCUUGACCCAGAGGGGACGAGUGUCUGUCUGGGGACGCCGGGUUGGGGACCAGCAGGCUGCCCGGGGGGGGACCGGGAAAAGGAAACAGCAGGGAGGGAGGGAGCUGAAGGGCACAAAGGGCUCGGGUGGAUCCGAGCGGGGCCGGGCUGGAUCGGGGCUGGCGCUGAGCCGCAGGUCCCCAGGGUGCUGAGCUCUGGUCCUUGGUGGUGCCUCCUGCUAAAGGGCUUCUACCUCUGUCGUGCCCGGCCCCUGCCCGGAGACCUGUGCCCCCCCCCGGGGCUGAGCACAGCGCACCCGGGGCACGCAGCGGGAUGUGGCCAGCGAGACGGGCAGGGGGGCAACGGGAACGGGCUGCAUUUCCAGCUGUGCUGCUCCAGCAGGCUGGCAGCGAGGCCGUGCCACAUCCUACCGGGCACCUCGCUGCGGGGCUGGGGCUUGGUGACAAUGACACCCCGUGCCCCCCAAGUCAGAGCUCCCUGGGCAGGAUCCGGGCUGCAGAGAGCCCCUGUGCUGGCCGCUCUCAGUUGCCCAUGGACCACCAAGACGGUCAGGUUCAUCCCAUCCACGUGUGGCCUGCAGCUUGGCAGCCCCCCCCAAACACCACUGUGGCUCUGGGAUGUGACAUCCUCCGUGCGACACACACUCGUGCCACGUUUGUGCAACCGUAGGGUGUACCAGCCCCGUUUCUCACCCAGGUCUCCCUACAUCCCACCUCCCCCACACCCCCGCCAAACACACCACACCAAGGCCUUGCACGUGUGUGCAACACGGCUGCUGGCAGGGAGCACACGCACCCUGCACAGGGGUGUGCCACGCACGUGUGUGUGCAUCCACCGCUCGCCGUGUGUGCACUGCCCAUGCACCAGCGAGCACGGACGGACCCCUUGUGUGCACGNNNNNNNNNNNNNNNNNNN